CACGUAGGGGGCAAGCGUUGUCCGGAUUCAUUGGGCGUAAAGAGCUCGUAGGCGGUUCGAUAAGUCGGGUGUGAAACCUCCAGGCUCAACCUGGAGACGCCACCCGAUACUGUCGUGACUAGAGUCCAGUAGGGGAGUGUGGAAUUCCUGGUGUAGCGGUGAAAUGCGCAGAUAUCAAGAGGAACACCAGUGGCGAAGGCGAAUCUCUGGACAAUUCCUGACACUGAUGCUCGAAAGCUAGGGGAGCAAACGGG
rnacentral:rRNA from 1 species